UACGGGGGGGGCAAGCGUUGUUCGGAAUUACUGGGCGUAAAGGGCUCGUAGGUGGCCAACUAAGUCAGACGUGAAAUCCCUCGGCUUAACCGGGGAACUGCGUCUGAUACUGGAUGGCUUGAGUUUGGGAGAGGGACGCGGAAUUCCAGGUGUAGCGGUGAAAUGCGUAGAUAUCUGGAGGAACACCGGUGGCGAAGGCGGCGUCCUGGACCAACACUGACGUUCAGGCACGAAAGCGUGGGGAGCAAACAGG
rnacentral:rRNA from 1 species